AAAAUUCUUCCUGGUGUUUAGUUGGAAUCUUUUUUCUUGUAAGUUGAAGCCUUUGGUUCAAGUCCUCCCCUCCAAGCAGCAGCAAACAAGCUUGCUCCAUCUUCCAACUAGCAACCCUUAAAAUAUUUGAAGAUGGCUAUCAUAUCUCCUCUUAGUCUCCUCUUUUCCAGGCUAAACAUACCCAGCUCCUUCAAC